rnacentral:rRNA from 1 species
UACGUAGGGUGCGAGCGUUGUCCGGAAUUACUGGGCGUAAAGAGCUCGUAGGUGGUUUGUCGCGUUGUUCGUGAAAACUCACAGCUCAACUGUGGGCGUGCGGGCGAUACGGGCAGACUGGAGUACUGCAGGGGAGACUGGAAUUCCUGGUGUAGCGGUGGAAUGCGCAGAUAUCAGGAGGAACACCGGUGGCGAAGGCGGGUCUCUGGGCAGUAACUGACGGCUGAGGAGCGAAAGCCAGGGGAGCAAACGGGG